rnacentral:rRNA from 1 species
CCUACGAGUGGCAGCAGUGAGGAAUAUUGGUCAAUGGACGAGAGUCUGAACCAGCCAAGUAGCGUGAAGGAUGACUGCCCUAUGGGUUGUAAACUUCUUUUAUAUGGGAAUAAAACAGGGUAUGCAUACCCUCUUGUAUGUACCAUAUGAAUAAGGAUCGGCUAACUCCGUGCCAGCAGCCGCGGUAAUACGGAGGAUACGAGCGUUAUCCGGAUUUAUUGGGUUUAACGGGAGCGUAGGUGGUGUUUUAAGUCAGUUGUGAAAGUUUGGGGCUCAACCGUAAAAUUGCAGUUGAUACUGGCAGGCUUGAGUACAGUAGAGGUGGGCGGAAUUCGUGGUGUAGCGGUGAAAUGCUUAGAUAUCACGAAGAACUACGAUUGCGAAGGCAGCUCACUGGACUAAAACUGACACUGAUGCUCGAAAGUGUGGGUAGCAAACAGGAUUAGAUACCCUUGUAGUC